rnacentral:pre_miRNA from 1 species
UAUUAAAAAUUUUAUUUAUUUUUAUUGUUAAAAAUUGGCGUGGUUGACAAAAUUAUCAAACAAUAGUACGUGGGGUGCCGCACAUAUCUCAUACUUUUUAUAGGAACCAAUUUUUAAUAGUAAAAAUGAAUAAAUUUUUUAACA